GUGAGGUUUUACGUGGAAUCGAUACAUAUUCAUGAUAUCGUCGUUAAAUGCGUCGUCAUUGGAUUUAAGAUUGAUUCGAGACAUAAAUCGCGCGAGUGAAGCAAAUGUGGCGGGAGAAGCAAACGUCAAUGCAGUGGACGAUCGUGUUUGCUCAUGUCUUUUGAAAAAGUCCGUGAGAUGGCUCUUAAUGAAUAUUUCCCGUCGGUAAAAUAUGACGUAUCGCGCGCAAGAGAGAAACAUGGCGGGAGGAAAAGGAGUUUGAGAAAUUGUUUGUGCACAUUUAUCUAACAAGGCAACGUUUAUUUAACAAGGGAACACAUAUAUUGGCAUUCUUAUUGUUCAUCGUUGGACGACAAUCAACAUACUUUUGGGAGAAGAGGGUUAAUCAUCAGAAGGAUCAUGCUGUAAAUUUUUUUAAAUGGUACAUUUCUUGGAACGAUUUGCUGUUACAACCAUAAAACAUCGAGAGAAAAACAGAAGAAAACAUCAAACCGAAUAACACAAAUAUGCGAACCUGUUUGUGUAUGCAUUUUCACCAUCGCGUCCUCGCGCAGUUUGUAAUGGAACCUCCACAAAUUACGUGCAUUUUCAAGUAAAUGAGAAACCCCAUCGCAAAGAUCCAACGACGUGUCAUGCAUUACAUCCGUAUUUAACCAGGCGGACCUAGGGUUUCCGCAAACAUCACACGUGUACAUAUCCACCGUGCACACGCGUGCACACGCGAGGUAUAUCUCAACGAUGUGUCACGCGCGUCAAGUACCAUCUCCGCGUUUACGUCGCAUCAACGGGUAUAACGACAACCAGGUCCUUUACACGAGUGCAGCGAAUGACCCUGACCUCCCCCUGAUUUCAUUUAAGCAAAAGGCAUCCAUUAGAUAAAACGAUGAGCGAAGCAAAGGCAAGUCGAGUUGGAACGAGCUGUAAUCACUAAUAUUGGAUUUUAGGAGAAACACAUAAACUAAAGCGUAUACUCGUUCAUGUAACAGUAAUGGACAAGCAAAUAUAACUAUUUUUGUUUCAUUUUUUUUUUAAAUGUACAGCCCGAUGAUCGUUAAAGUUACUCGACGCGAAUGAAUUGUAGCCAGUCAGCGAUACAUGUAAUGGAAAUCAAUAAAUGGGUAUUCGCGAGGCGAAAUAUAAUUUUCCGUUAUGCUUUAUCACGCAUGCAGAAUCUAUCGAGAACACUUGUAGCAUUGGAAAAUGAGGAUUAAGUGCGCUAAAAAAAAAGUCUUAACGUCGACAAAAAAAAUGCAGUGCUUUUAAAAAGUAACGCGAGCCCCAAUAACUAUGGAUUUGAAGUGUUUCAGUUUCUCUCGCAAGUUAA